CGACCAGCAGGAGAGCCGGCCCACCGCGCAACGGCUCGGCCGCCUGUUGAGCCGUCGCCCGAGCCGCCUGACGCGCCUGCUUGGGUUGCGCCAGCCCGGCGGCUUUUUAUAGCCCGGCGGCGGUGGCGGCGCGUCAAGGAAGAUCUAAGCCUGAGGACAGGCUUUAAAGGCAUAAACCACAAUGUAAGAGAGAGUCCUAACCAGUGGUGGGUUUCUACCGGUUUGCCCCAGUUUGGGUGAACCAGUAGUGGCAGCGGUGGGAGGCUCUGCCUGGAUGUCAUUCCAGAUGCUCUGUGCAUGUGCAGAAGCGCCACAAGCGAGCUCACUGUUCCCAACCGGUAGCUAAGGACCUCAGCAUCCUUUUUGUAUCGUGGUGACUAGAACCGGAUGCAGUAUUCCAAGUGUGGUCUUACCAAAGUAUUAUAAAAUGGCAUCAACACUUCACCUGGAGAUCUGGAUGACACUCUCUGGUGGCUUGAACAGGUGGCUUCUUCUACAGAGCAUUUAGCAUUGAGACAUCUUUGGAAGAUGCCUGUUCACUCUGAUUUCCUAAAGGUCACCAGAGACUUCUUUAUCAGAGACGUCCUGAGUGGAUGCCAAGGGAGGGAUUUGGUUUACAGGUACAAUUUAAUGGUUUACUUCUCCAGCAUUCCACUUAAGGUUGCUUGGCCCUUAACAAAAAGUUAGAAACAACCCCAUCUCACGGAGAGGGAUUCAAGAACAUUCAACCAGGCCCACCAAAAUCCAGAGUUUUUGGUAGUGGCAAGUCAGGUCUCCUUGUGAUCAAGGAUUCAGAGCAAAAUAAAG